rnacentral:rRNA from 1 species
UACGUAGGGUGCGAGCGUUGUCCGGAAUUAUUGGGCGUAAAGGGCUCGUAGGCGGUUUGUCGCGUCGGGAGUGAAAACCAGGUGCUUAACACCUGGCUUGCUUUCGAUACGGGCAGACUAGAGGUAUUCAGGGGAGAACGGAAUUCCUGGUGUAGCGGUGAGAUGCGCAGAUAUCAGGAGGAACACCGGUGGCGAAGGCGGUUCUCUGGUCCGGUACUGACGCUGAGGUGCGAAAGCGUGGGGAGCAAACAGG